CGUAAACCCUUGCUUUAUUUAUAAAUAGUAUUUUAUAAAGCAGUUCGCCAUUAUAUUGGUUGAUAUAUGGGACCAAGGCAAGUCAUCAUGACCUUAAUAUUGUGGGCUAUAGACGUGCCACAUAGUCCUAUACAAAGAGAUGCAAAAAUGUGAAUUUAAGCUAAUCUCAAAAGUAGGAUAUAAUACGAAUUGUAGUCUGUAACUCGACUACAUGAAGAAGGAAUUACUAGUAAUCGUGAAUCACCAUGUCACGGUGAAUUUUAUCUCGGAUAGGCACUUACUACUCGUCGCGCGCUGAAAGAAGUAUGUGCAAUAAGUUUGGUUUACUAUUUAUUUUUAAUAAAGAUAAUACGUUCUUUAUAUUUAUUUAGUUAAUUUUCGUAUGUGUGACUUCGAUUGGUGUUAAGUCGAAAUAUGGUUCGUGUAGUGGAAAUUGCACGGGGCUAAUUAAAGUA
rnacentral:ncRNA from 1 species